UACGUAGGGGGCAAGCGUUGUCCGGAUUUAUUGGGCGUAAAGAGCGUGUAGGCGGUUUGGUAGGUCCGCUGUGAAAACUCGAGGCUCAACCUCGAGACGCCGGUGGAAACCAUCAGGCUAGAGUCCGGAAGAGGAGAGUGGAAUUCCUGGUGUAGCGGUGAAAUGCGCAGAUAUCAGGAGGAACACCAAUGGCGAAGGCAGCUCGCUGGGACGGUACUGACGCUAAGGCGCGAAAGCGUGGGGAGCAAACAGG
rnacentral:rRNA from 1 species